rnacentral:rRNA from 1 species
GACGAACGCUGGCGGCGUGCCUAAUACAUGCAAGUUGAGCGCUGAAGGUUGGUACUUGUACCAACUGGAUGAGCAGCGAACGGGUGAGUAACGCGUGGGGAAUCUGCCUUUGAGCGGGGGACAACAUUUGGAAACGAAUGCUAAUACCGCAUAAAAACUUUAAACACAAGUUUUAAGUUUGAAAGAUGCAAUUGCAUCACUCAAAGAUGAUCCCGCGUUGUAUUAGCUAGUUGGUGAGGUAAAGGCUCACCAAGGCGAUGAUACAUAGCCGACCUGAGAGGGUGGUCGGCCACAGUGGGACUGAGACACGGCCCAAACUCCUACGGGAGGCAGCAGUAGGGAAUCUUCGGCAAUGGACGAAAGUCUGACCGAGCAACGCCGCGUGAGUGAAGAAGGUUUUCGGAUCGUAAAACUCUGUUGGUAGAGAAGAACGUUGGUGAGAGUGGAAAGCUCAUCAAGUGACGGUAACUACCCAGAAAGGGACGGCUAACUACGUG